GGGGCCCUGACGUAUUCGCCAGACUUACAGUCCUCGAGCCGAUAUUAUGACCCCGGGGGUUUCUCGCUUCUGUUGGUGUGCAUGUCCGGCGCAGUCCGGAAAGCCUUAUACAGUUCAGGAACCACCACCUUGAACCGUCGGGUUCAAGGGCAGUUCUGUCAGCGGUACGCCGGGAACCCC
rnacentral:other from 1 species